rnacentral:rRNA from 1 species
CGAACGGGUGAGUAACACGUGAGUAAUCUGUCCUUCACAUCGGGAUAACUUCGGGAAACCGAAGCUAAUACCGGAUACGACCACCGACGGCAUCGUCUGGUGGUGGAAAGCUCCGGCGGUGAAGGAUGAACUCGCGGCCUAUCAGCUUGUUGGUGAGGUAAUGGCCCACCAAGGCGACGACGGGUAGCCGGCCUGAGAGGGUGACCGGCCACACUGGGACUGAGACACGGCCCAG